UGAACGCUGGCGGCGUGCCUAAUACAUGCAAGUAGACCGCUGAAGGAGGAGCUUGCUCUUCUGGAUGAGUUGCGAACGGGUGAGUAACGCGUAGGUAACCUGCCUGGUAGCGGGGGAUAACUAUUGGAAACGAUAGCUAAUACCGCAUGACAACAGUUAUUGCAUGAUAACUGUUUAAAAGGGGCAACUGCUCCACUACCAGAUGGACCUGCGUUGUAUUAGCUAGUUGGUGAGGUAACGGCUCACCAAGGCGACGAUACAUAGCCGACCUGAGAGGGUGAUCGGCCACACUGGGACUGAGACACGGCCCAGACUCCUACGGGAGGCAGCAGUAGGGAAUCUUCGGCAAUGGACGGAAGUCUGACCGAGCAACGCCGCGUGAGUGAAGAAGGUUGUCGGAUCGUAAAGCUCUGUUGUAAGAGAAGAACGAGUGUGAGAGUGGAAAGUUCACACUGUGACGGUAUCUUACCAGAAAGGGACGGCUAACUACGUG
rnacentral:rRNA from 1 species